rnacentral:misc_RNA from 1 species
CAGUAUAUGAAGCCCAAGUCAAUUCACAAUGAAGAUAUUGUGGAAAAUUUUUCCAAAGAGUACAUGUACCUUUCUUGUAUUGCGUUUAUCAAGAAGGUGAAAAAGGGGUUAUUUGCUGAGCAUUCGCCAUUGUUGGACGAUAUCAGUGGAGUGCCUAAUUGGAACAAGGUGAAUAGUGGGUUGCUUAAGAUGUACAAGGC